AAUUAAAUAGCUUAAAUAAAGCAAUUCUUUGAAGAAGAAUAGAUGUUAUAACUUUAAUUA
rnacentral:tRNA from 1 species